GGGAGCGAUCAUACCAGCACUAAUGCACCGGAUCCCAUCAGAACUCGGAAGUUAAGCGUGCUUGGGCGAGAGUAGUACUAGGAUGGGUGACCUCCUGGGAAGUCCUCGUGUUGCACCCC
rfam:Eucalyptus grandis cultivar BRASTZ1 unplaced genomic scaffold scaffold_2871, whole genome shotgun sequence.